rnacentral:rRNA from 1 species
UGGGGAAUAUUGCACAAUGGGCGCAAGCCUGAUGCAGCCAUGCCGCGUGUAUGAAGAAGGCCUUCGGGUUGUAAAGUACUUUCAGCGGGGAGGAAGGCGAUAAGGUUAAUAACCUUGUCGAUUGACGUUACCCGCAGAAGAAGCACCGGCUAACUCCGUGCCGGCAGCCGCGGUAAUACGGAGGGUGCAAGCGUUAAUCGGAAUUACUGGGCGUAAAGCGCACGCAGGCGGUCUGUCAAGUCGGAUGGGAAAUCCCCGGGCUCAACCUGGGAACUGCAUUCGAAACUGGCAGGCUAGAGUCUUGUAGAGGGGGGUAGAAUUCCAGGUGUAGCGGUGAAAUGCGUAGAGAUCUGGAGGAAUACCGGUGGCGAAGGCGGCCCCCUGGACAAAGACUGACGCUCAGGUGCGAAAGCGUGGGGAGCAAACA